rnacentral:lncRNA from 1 species
GUUGGUGUAGCAGGUUUUACAUAGGAGCAAUAUGGUGAAAAGGGAUUAGGAUCAAAGAAGGCAUGUCACAGGUGCUUCUUCAUAUAAUUAUGCAGCCAAGAUAGUAGGGGUAUUAAAUGGAAAUUUUUACUAUUUUACACUAAGAUUGUCCAAUUUUAGUUGUAUACUUGUAUUUAUGGUUGAGUAAAUAUUGUCUUAACUUAUAUCUGAGAAGUCAUGGGAGCAGUAACCAUGACUUUAGGUGUUUUUAUAGUAGUAGUACAUGUUGCUACUUUUUAGUACCUAUAGAAAGGAUGUACUCCACUAUUCAUUUAUGUAAAACAACAAUCAUUUGAAUAAAGGAGUUCAUGUAUUUGCCUCACUUUUAUUCCAAAUAUAAAUUGAAUUUUAAAUUUGGUUAAAAUCAUAUCAAAAUUAUUGUCUAUUAUAAACAUAAAUGUUUAAACUGUUGUCUAUAAGUUAUGGCAACUGUUAAUAAGUGUUGCCUAUACGUAAUGAGGACACUAGAAAACUGUUAUCUUUGCUUAUUCUUUUGGCGACAGUUAUGGACUGUAAAUACAAAUGGCAACACGUAAAAAAUGUCGCCUAAAGUUUGCAGACAAACUGUUCCCUAUUCUGGAUAGCUUAGGCGACAGUCUUUGAAAGUGUGGCUAAAAAGCGCAAAAACUGUAACCUAAAACAAUAGGUAACGCUCGCUUAUAAAACGGGUGAAAACUGUUCCCUAUACCGUUUGGUUACAGUUUUGACGGUUUAGGCUACACUUUUCAAAUGUUGCCAAAAAGCAAAAAUGUUGUAGUGA